GAUGAACGCUGGCGGCGUGCUUAACACAUGCAAGUCGAACGGUGAAGCAGGAGCUUGCUCUUGUGGAUCAGUGGCGAACGGGUGAGUAACACGUGAGCAACCUGCCCCUGACUCUGGGAUAAGCGCUGGAAACGGAGUCUAAUACUGGAUAUGUGAUGUGACCGCAUGGUCUGCAUCUGGAAAGAAGUUCGGUUGGGGAUGUGCUGGCGGCCUAUCGGCUUGUUGGUGAGGUAAUGGCUCACCAAGGCGUCGACGGGUAGCCGGCCUGGGAGGGUGACCGGCCACACUGGGACUGAGACACGGCCCAGACUCCUACGGGAGGCAGCAGGGGGGAAUAUUGCACAAUGGGCGGAAGCCUGAUGCAGCAACGCCGCGUGAGGGAUGACGGCCUUCGGGUUGUAAACCUCUUUUAGCAGGGAAGAAGCGAAAGUGACGGUACCCGCAGAAAAAGCACCGGCUAACUACGUGCCAGCCGCCGCCGUAA
rnacentral:rRNA from 1 species